AAGUCGUAACAAGGUUUCCGUAGGUGAACCUGCGGAAGGAUCAUUAUCGACAACGGGGUCCUUCGGGGCCCCAUCCCCCAUCCGAUGCAUACUUACCGAGUCGCUUUGGCGAGCGUGGGGAGGACGGUCGCCCGUCAUCUCCCCCCGGGUUCGUCGAUGGCCCCCCCAUCAACCCUAUUGUCAUUCAUGCUGUCCGAACACAUCAAAUAGCACAAAACUUUCAACAACGGAUCUCUUGGUUCCGGCAUCGAUGAAGAACGCAGCGAAAUGCGAUAAGUAAUGUGAAUUGCAGAAUUCAGUGAAUCAUCGAAUCUUUGAACGCACAUUGCGCCCCUUGGUACUCCGAGGGGCAUGCCUGUUCGAGCGUCAUUGCAACCCUCAAGCCUAGCUUGGUCUUGGGCUCUUGCCCCGCGGGGCGGGCCCGAAAGCGAGUGGCGGUCCAGCGGGACUUCAAGCGCAGUAAAUCUUCUCCCGCUUUGGAAGCUUCCCGGUGCGUGCCGGCCAGACAACCCCCGCAUUUUUCAAUGGUUGACCUCGGAUCAGGUAGGGAUACCCGCUGAACUUAAGCAUAUCAAUAAGCGGAGGAAAAGAAACCAACAGGGAUUGCCUCAGUAACGGCGAGUGAAGCGGCAACAGCUCAAAUUUGAAAUCUGGCGCCUCCGGCGUCCGAGUUGUAAUUUGCAGAGGGUGUUUCGGGGGCGGGGCCGGCCUAAGUUCCUUGGAACAGGACGUCAUAGAGGGUGAGAACCCCGUAUGCGGCCGGCGACCAAUCCCACGUGAAACCCCUUCGACGAGUCGAGUUGUUUGGGAAUGCAGCUCAAAACGGGUGGUAAAUUUCAUCUAAAGCUAAAUACCGGCCAGAGACCGAUAGCGCACAAGUAGAGUGAUCGAAAGAUGAAAAGCACUUUGGAAAGAGAGUUAAAAAGUACGUGAAAUUGUUGAAAGGGAAGCGCUUGCGACCAGACCUGUCCCCGGGUGAUCCGCCGCGAUUCUCUCGCGGUGCACUCGCCCGGGAUCAGGCCAGCAUCGGUUUGGGCGGUUGGAUAAAGGUCCCGGGAAUGUAGCUCCCCUCGGGGAGUCUUAUAGCCCGGGGCGCAAUGCUUCCAGCCCGGACCGAGGACCGCGCUUCGGCUAGGAUGCUGGCGUAAUGGUCGUAAGCGACC
rnacentral:rRNA from 1 species